rnacentral:misc_RNA from 1 species
GAGCCAUUAGAGUGUAGCCAUGUGUCAGUUGCUAGCCUUCUCAAAACGAAAUUCUUUGAUGCACCGAUAGACCUCAUGUCUUCGGGUCGGUUCCUUNNNNACCAGGAGAGACGAACGGAAGGCGGUAUCACAAAAAUCCAGUUUGAGUCCCCUCUAAAAGCAAGUUCGAGCUAAAUCACAACCAAACCCCCAUGCUACAAGCCAGCCUCAACCAUCGAUUAAGAUUCAAAACCCAUAUACAAAAAGCCAAUCAAAGGCAGAACAGAGCAUGGAAACUGGGAACAUUAAAGGGAUUAUCGGAUCGACUUACCUGUGAUGCCAUCGCCGCAUCGCUGAUCUAGUGCCGUCGUUGCCAAGUAAGUCCUCUUUUUCUUCUUCUUCCUCUUCUUCUUGUGAAGCAGUGUUGAUCAGUG